rnacentral:rRNA from 1 species
UACGUAGGGUGCAAGCGUUAUCCGGAAUUAUUGGGCGUAAAGAGCUCGUAGGCGGUUUUGUCGCGUCUGCUGUGAAAACUGGGGGCUCAACCCCCAGCCUGCAGUGGGUACGGGCAGACUAGAGUGCGGUAGGGGAGAUUGGAAUUCCUGGUGUAGCGGUGGAAUGCGCAGAUAUCAGGAGGAACACCGAUGGCGAAGGCGACUCUUUGGCCUGUAACUGACACUGAGGAGCGAAGGACAUGGGGAGCGAACAGG